rnacentral:rRNA from 1 species
AGUGAACGCUGGCGGUAGGCCUAACACAUGCAAGUCGAACGGCAGCACAGUAAGAGCUUGCUCGUACGGGUGGCGAGUGGCGGACGGGUGAGGAAUACAUCGGAAUCUACUUUUUCGUGGGGGAUAACGUAGGGAAACUUACGCUAAUACCGCAUACGACCUACGGGUGAAAGCAGGGGAUCUUCGGACCUUGCGCGAUUGAAUGAGCCGAUGUCGGAUUAGCUAGUUGGCGGGGUAAAGGCCCACCAAGGCGACGAUCCGUAGCUGAUCUGAGAGGAUGAUCAGCCACACUGGAACUGAGACACGGUCCAGACUCCUACGGGAGGCAGCAGUGGGGAAUAUUGGACAAUGGGCGCAAGCCUGAUCCAGCCAUACCGCGUGGGUGAAGAAGGCCUUCGGGUUGUAAAGCCCUUUUGUUGGGAAAGAAAAGCAGCAGGUUAAUACCCCGCUGUUCUGACGGUACCCAAAGAAUAAGCACCGGCUAACUUCGUG